UACAUAGGGAGCGAGCGUUAUCCGGAAUUACUGGGUGUAAAGGGAGCGUAGGCGGGAAUGCAAGUCAGAUGUGAAAACCAAGGGCUUAACCUUUGGACUGCAUUUGAAACUGUGUUUCUUGAGUGAAGUAGAGGCAAGCGGAAUUCCUGGUGUAGCGGUGAAAUGCGUAGAUAUCAGGAGGAACAUCGGUGGCGAAGGCGGCUUGCUGGGCUUUUACUGACGCUGAGGCUCGAAAGCAUGGGGAGCAAACAGG
rnacentral:rRNA from 1 species